rnacentral:lncRNA from 1 species
GAAAAUCAUAACAAAUUAGAAAAAUAUAAAUUAAUAAAACCUACUUCAUCAGACUUCAGAAAUUUCGACGAACAGCGGAGGCAGAAGCACAACCACAGUGCUUUCAGUUCGCACGGAGAUAUCUACGAACACGUCUUCCCCUAACCUAGCUCAAAUUCUCUCUAUAGCCUAAACCACAACCACAGUUGCGCGGAGGGAGUGUUCUCGAAGUGUUCGGAGGGAGGAGUGCCGAGAAAUUAAAGAUGCGUGGUGUGGGAGUGCUGAUAAAUUAGAGAUGCAUGGUGUUGAUGCUGCUUUAGACACGAAGGAAGAGGCAAAGAGCGGAGUGUUCGAAGCUUUAGAGAGGAAGAACGGGAGAGAAACGAAAUGAAGGAAACGUUGAAAUGAAAUUAGGGAAAUGUAAAAAAUUAGAAAGGAAGAGAUAUUAUAACUGAUUUCUAGAAGUCCGUUAUAAUAGGUUAUGGACUUAUUUACAAUUUUACCACCACGUUUCAUAUUAUAGCUGAUUUAGAAAAUGUGUUAUAAUAGGUCCUACACUUAUUUACAAACUUGUCACCGCAUUUCAUAUUAUAACU